AAAACUCCCUUGACGGUACUUAAUGAAUAAGCCCCGGCUAAUUAUGUGCCAGCAGCCGCGGUAAUACAUAAGGGGCGAGCGUUAUCCGGAAUUAUUGGGCGUAAAGGGUGCGUAGGCGGUUUAAUAAGUCUAUAGUUUAAUUUCAGUGCUUAACGCUGUUGUGCUAUAGAAACUGUUUUACUAGAGUGAGUUAGAGGCAAGCGGAAUUCCAUGUGUAGCGGUAAAAUGCGUAAAUAUAUGGAGGAACACCAGAGGCGUAGGCGGCUUGCUGGGACUUUACUGACGCUGAGGCACGAAAGCGUGGGGAGCAAACAGGAUUAGAUUCCCUGGUAGUCCACGCCGUAAACGAUGAGUACUAAGUGUCGGGUAAAACCGGUACUGAAGUUAACACAUUAAGUACUCCGCCUGAGUAGUACGUACGCAAGUAUGAAACUUAAAGGAAUUGACGGGACUCCGCACAAGCGGUGGAUCAUGUUGUUUAAUUCGAAGAUACACGAAAAACCUUACCAGGUCUUGACAUUUUCUUGCGAAGUUAUAGAAAUAUAAUGGAGGUUAUCAGGAAAACAGGUGGUGCAUGGUUGUCGUCAGCUCGUGUCGUGAGAUGUUAGGUUAAGUCCUAAAACGAGCGCAACCCUUGUCGUUAAUUGCCAGCAUGUAAUGAUGGGGACUUUAACGAGACUGCCAAUGAAAAAUUGGAGGAAGGUGGGGAUUACGUCAAAUCAUCAUGCCCCUUAUGAUCUGGGCUACAAACGUGAUACAAUGGUUGAUACAAAGAGUAGCUGAAACGCGAGUUCUUAGCCAAUCUCACAAAAUCAAUCU
rnacentral:rRNA from 1 species